rnacentral:tRNA from 1 species
AGCCCCAUGGUCUAGUGGCCAAGGACUUCAGCCUCUGGAGCUGGAAACGGGAGUUCGAAUCUCCCUGGGGCUA